GCCUGGCUGGCUCAGUCAGUAGAGCAUGAGACUCUUGAUCUCGAGGUUGUGAGUUCAAGCCCCAUGUUGGGUG
rnacentral:tRNA from 1 species